CAUUCAGCUAUACAAUUCACAUUUGCAAAAACUGAACAAUCUUGCAACAAUUUGCCAGGUUCAAAAGGAUAUGGAAAACUGGAAAUGAAAAGUACAGAACAAAGAUUUUACAUGUUGAAAAAAGUCCCCAAAUAUCUAGGCCAAAAAAAAAUGAUAUAAAAAAUUAAGAAUCUUGUUUGAGACACAAAUGCUUCUAAUCUAACGUCUGCUGAAUGUUGGGUCCAAAACCUCUGGCAACUGGCAUGGCUCCAUACAGCCAAAAUUCCAAACAUAUUGCCACCUCAAAUAUCCAAACAUUUAUUACCUAGAACAGUCCACAAUCAAGCAUUGUACAUUUGCAAAAGGUGCAGUAAAAAUUUCAUAUUUCUGCCUCCAAUAGAAAUUUAAAGCAUAAUGGAAAAGAACGAUUCAAAGAAGGUCACCAUUGGUUACCAUCCAAAAUGGUUCAAAGAACUUUGGUGGAUUGUAUAGUAUUGCCAGACCCAGCCGUUCUGGAUA
rnacentral:misc_RNA from 1 species